GACGAACGCUGGCGGCGUGCUUAACACAUGCAAGUCGUACGGUAAGGCCCUUUCGGGGGUACACGAGUGGCGCACGGGUGAGUAACACGUGAGUAACCUGCCCACAACUUUGGGAUAACGCUAGGAAACUGGUGCUAAUACUGGAUAUGUGCUCCUGCUGCAAGGUGGGGGUUGGAAAGCUCCGGCGGUUGUGGAUGGACUCGCGGCCUAUCAGCUUGUUGGUGGGGUAGUGGCCUACCAAGGCGGCGACGGGUAGCCGGCCUGAGAGGGUGACCGGCCACAUUGGGACUGAGAUACGGCCCAGACUCCUACGGGAGGCAGCAGUGGGGAAUAUUGCACAAUGGGCGCAAGCCUGAUGCAGCAACGCCGCGUGCGGGAUGACGGCCUUCGGGUUGUAAACCGCUUUCAGCAGGGACGAAGCUUUUUGUGACGGUACCUGCAGAAGAAGCACCGGCUAACUACGUG
rnacentral:rRNA from 1 species